UCUAACCUAGAUUCAAAAGGUAUUUUUCAAUCACGAUUCAAAUCCAUAAGAUCAAAAUGGAAAACAAGAAUAACCUCAACAUCAAAAGAUAACUAAGAACAAACAACAUCAUAGUCAAAGGGAAUACAUACUAAUAGAGUUGAUUACAUUCAAUCCCAACAAAAAGAGUUUAGCUACACAUUGUCAUGGUAACCUUACAAGGAGAAAAGAAGAGAUGAAAUGAGCAAGCCAUGAUGUCUCAAUGAUCUUGGAGAUUCCUUCAAUCCUUGUGCUCCUUGCUCCUUAAGUUCUCUCUGGUUUUCCCCUGCUUUUUCUCUCCCUCAAGUGGUCUAUGAUAUGAUAUGAUAAUAUCUGGAUUAAGGUUUGGGGCUAUUUAUAUAAUUCUGGAAAAUUGCAGCGUGGCUUAGCCACGCUCACUUCUCUUAGCCACACUCAGAUUUCUUCCCCGUUGGGUUUCUGCCACAUCAGCAUUGGAUGUCCAAAACCGCCUUAGCUCGCUAGCCACGCAUAUCUCUCGCUUAGCCACGCUUCAUGGCUUUGACUUUGCUUAGCCACGCUCCCAGAUUCAGAUUUCUUUUGCUCUCUGACUUGCAUUGCUUUGGCAUGGCUUUGACUUUGCUUAGCCACGAUGACAACAUCUAAUUUUCUUCACUUUCUUUGAUCUUUUUCUCUUGGCAAGCAAAUCCCUACAUAAUUGGUUGGUAUUAAACAUAAAAAGCAUAAAGUAGUAUUAAUCUAUUAUUUUGGAGCUUUUCAUGAGAUAAUUUGUAAAACAAGUAAUUAAAGUGCCUAAAAUAUAUAUGUUAUUUAACUAAUUUCU
rnacentral:lncRNA from 1 species